UACGAAGGGGGCUAGCGUUACUCGGAUUGACUGGGCGUAAAGGGCGCGUAGGCGGAUGGUACAGUCAGACGUGAAAUUCCUGGGCUCAACCUGGGGGCUGCGUUUGAUACGUGCUGUCUGGAGUUCGGAAGAGGGUCGUGGAAUUCCCAGUGUAGAGGUGAAAUUCGUAGAUAUUGGGAAGAACACCGGUGGCGAAGGCGGCGACCUGGUCCGAUACUGGACGCUGAGGCGCGAAAGCUGGGGAGCAAACAGG
rnacentral:rRNA from 1 species